rfam:Triticum aestivum genome assembly, contig: Triticum_aestivum_CS42_TGACv1_scaffold_095652_2AL
GAGCAAAUGAUGAUGCAUAUGAUUAGUCUGAUCCAUUUGAUGUUUCAAAAUCGAGCUUUUUAAACCUGAUGCUCA